GACGAACGCUGGCGGCGUGCUUAACACAUGCAAGUCGAGCGGUAAGGCCCUUUCGGGGGUACACGAGCGGCGAACGGGUGAGUAACACGUGGGUGACCUGCCCUCAGCUCUGGGAUAAGCCUGGGAAACCGGGUCUAAUACUGGAUAUGACUCCAUGACGCAUGUUGGUGGGGUAGGAAAGCCUUGUGCGGCUGAGGAGUCGGGCCC
rnacentral:rRNA from 1 species